AAUAAUAAAAAAUUCUCAUUUUGUAGGAUUAUAAAUACUCUCCCCCUCUCUCCAUUCCUCCCACUCACCACCCUCCUCCUCUUCAAGCUUUCUCUCAGACCGCCAAAACCAAAACCCAGGUUCUAGCAGCUAGCUCCGGUCAAGAAGAAGAAAAAUAAUCACCCCCAAUACCAUUUGAUCAAUCACUAUGUCUUCUCUUCUUCAUUCCCCCGCCGCCGCCGCCACCACCGUACGUCGGUCAGUACUGGCGG
rnacentral:lncRNA from 1 species